GACAGAGGGUGCAAACGUUGCUCGGAAUCACUGGGCGUAAAGGGCGUGUAGGCGGGAAUGUAAGUCGGGCGUGAAAGCCCCAGGCUCAACCUGGGAACUGCACUCGAAACUGCGUUUCUUGAGUAUCGGAGAGGAAAGCGGAAUACCUGGUGUAGAGGUGAAAUUCGUAGAUAUCAGGUGGAACACCAGUGGCGAAGGCGGCUUUCUGGACGAUUACUGACGCUGAGACGCGAAAGCGUGGGGAGCGAACAGG
rnacentral:rRNA from 1 species